AUUGAACGCUGGCGGCAGGCCUAACACAUGCAAGUCGAGCGGAUGAAGGGAGCUUGCUCCUGGAUUCAGCGGCGGACGGGUGAGUAAUGCCUAGGAAUCUGCCUGGUAGUGGGGGAUAACGUCCGGAAACGGGCGCUAAUACCGCAUACGUCCUGAGGGAGAAAGUGGGGGAUCUUCGGACCUCACGCUAUCAGAUGAGCCUAGGUCGGAUUAGCUAGUUGGUGGGGUAAAGGCCUACCAAGGCGACGAUCCGUAACUGGCCUGAGAGGAUGAUCAGUCACACUGGAACUGAGACACGGUCCAGACUCCUACGGGAGGCAGCAGUGGGGAAUAUUGGACAAUGGGCGAAAGCCUGAUCCAGCCAUGCCGCGUGUGUGAAGAAGGUCUUCGGAUUGUAAAGCACUUUAAGUUGGGAGGAAGGGCAGUAAGUUAAUACCUUGCUGUUUUGACGUUACCAACAGAAUAAGCACCGGCUAACUUCGU
rnacentral:rRNA from 1 species